rnacentral:rRNA from 1 species
AUCAACGCUGGCGGCGCGCCUAACACAUGCAAGUCGAACGAGAAAGGGGAGCAAUCCCUGAGUAAAGUGGCGCACUGGUGAGUAACACGUGGGUCAUCCACCCUUUGGCGGGGAAUAACCCUGGGAAACUGGGGAUAAUACCGCAUAAGUCCGAGAGGAGAAAGUCGCAAGACACCGAAGGAGGAGCCCGCGCCCGAUUAGCUAGUUGGUGAGGUAAGAGCUCACCAAGGCGACGAUCGGUAGCCGGCCUGAGAGGGCACACGGCCACACUGGCACUGAAACACGGGCCAGACUCCUACGGGAGGCAGCAGUGGGGAAUCUUGCACAAUGGGGGAAACCCUGAUGCAGCGACGCCGCGUGAACGAUGAAGCCCUUCGGGGUGUAAAGUUCUUUCGGCAGGGACGAUAAUGACGGUACCUGCAGAAGCAGCUGCGGCUAACUACGU